UACAGUACAGAAGAGUGCAUUCUGAUGACU
rnacentral:piRNA from 1 species